rnacentral:lncRNA from 1 species
CGGAUGAGGAGAAAGCUUGGAUACAGGGGGCGGUUACCGGUCUUCUGAAAAAGGAGUUCUUGUGGGAAGAGGUCAAAGACGAAAUCAUGGGAGAAUGUUCGGGGAAACUGAAAGUUUCGACAAUUGGAGGGAAUCUCGUUCUCUUUCAGAGUGCAUGCGGAGAUCCAACUGAAGAAAUCCUUAAAGAGAUGGACGAAUGGUUUCGGUUCUGGUUCUCGUGGAGU